UACAGAGGUCUCAAGCGUUGUUCGGAUUCAUUGGGCGUAAAGGGUGUGUAGGUGGCGCGCUAAGCCGGGUGUGAAAUUUCGGAGCUUAACUCCGAAACUGCAUUCGAUACUGGCGUGCUUGAGGACUGGAGAGGAGACUGGAAUUCAUGGUGUAGCAGUGAAAUGCGUAGAGAUCAUGAGGAAGACCAGUGGCGAAGGCAGGGUCGUCUGGGCAUUGAACUGACGCUGAGGAGCGAAAGCAUGGGGAGCGAACGGGA
rnacentral:rRNA from 1 species